GCUGAAAACUUUCUUUGUAGACCCUGACAUCUGGCUUCUCUGACUGCCAAGCCUGGCCUCCUCCAAGGUGCCACAGGAGAUGCGUCGGUGUGGCAGAAUUUCUGCGGUAAAAGUCCCCACAGCAUCACAUGGAGCUCCUGAACAUCACUGAACCAUUCCACUUCACUGGCUGCACUUCAGGAGGCAGAGUUGCCCUUGCUGACCUGUGACCAGAAUUAAUUAGAGCUGUUCAGAGUUGCUCUUUGACUUGACUUUCUGUGACUGUGUUGUUGACACUGCACUAGAAGCAGAAAAACAGAUUGUUGUAAAAGGAACUCCAGAAAUGACCUGACAUCAGAAUCACAAUUUCCUGUGUCACAGCCUCCUGAAAUUAGGACCAGUGCAAUAGUCCAUGUUUUUGCUGAAAUGUCAUCUAGAAGAUUCACAGUUCCUCUGAAAGACUUAGAAAAAGUGACCUACAAAAACAGAUAAGAUCUGAACCGGA
rnacentral:lncRNA from 1 species